ensembl:lncRNA novel transcript
ACACCUUCAGAGCCAUGCAAAGCUGGAAGGAGACAGAGAUAAGGUACACUGAAAGGAAGAAAGAAACUCCUCUCUCCAAGCUGCAUCUGCUUGCUCAGAGCAGCAGCUUGCUGAUGCAUGUGAUUGCCAGGCAUGGGGCUGGACCCCUGCCCAGGAGUGGCAAGGACAGGUACCCAGGCCACAUAUGACUGUUGUGCAGCUGAUGUACUUGGCUUGCUACCUACCACCGAUAGUGAUCAUUCUAAGAUGCAAAACAAUGAACACACUCAAGCUGAUUUUGGAUUUGACCAUACACAUUUCUCAGAAGAGGGAGCUUUCCUGGAGAAGGUGAAGAAAGAGAAGGAUAUUUGGCAGUGCUGAUUGCAGCUCGCUCUAUGAGGACAUAUUCUCCUCAUCCACAGAAGCCCUUUUCAAACAUUACUAAGAAGUCUGAUAAGAAGAAAAAACAUCCACUGAUGGGUUCUCAGAAAGAAAGCAUUAGAUUUAACUACAGGGCAAUACUGCCCUGAUUACCACAGGCCCAGCUGACGGCAAGGUUGCCAGGCAGCUCUCGUCCUGCCAAGAAUGGUGGUGGAAUGAAGCAAGCAUGUGAUGCACGUGAUUGAUGACACUGUCACAAGUAUAUAUCAUCAUGGAAAUACCCAAAUAAGGUGUUUGAACACAUAUUUCUCAGAGGAGGAAGAUUUCCUGGAGAGGCUAAAGGAAGAGAGGAAGAUAUUUGGCAGCUGUUGAUUGUUGACCAUGACUUGUUGAAAAAGCUUGCAAAGGCAUCCUUAAGGAGUUUACAUUCUCCUAAGAAAGAAUGCCACGCAAAGAAUCAGAUACGCAGAAAAUGCCAUGUGAAGAUGAAGGCAGAGCUCGGGGUGAUGCCUCUAGAAGCCAAGAAUGUCAAAGAUUGCCAGCAAACCACCGGAAGCAAGGAGAGAGGCAUGGGACAGAUUCUCCCUCCCAGUUCUCAGGAAAAAACAACCCUGCUGACACCUCGAUCUGGACUUGUUGCUUCCAGAACUUGUGAGAAAUUCCCCCUCCAUUUUGAUUUCACCCAGAGAUGCAGCACUACCUACACCAAACAGAAUGUGAAUGUCUGCAAGUUCUACACAGUAUUUCCCAGGAGCUAAUUGGAUCAGAAGAAAAGGCAGUGCUGAUCACAGAGUUUGCCUGAUGGGAGAAGGACGACCUGUGAACUUUUCUUGUUAGGAAAGACUCGGGGACUGAGGUGACUGUCAGUCUCAGAACAGCCAUAUCUGAGACGAGGACCAAGGACCAAAGACCAAGUAGCUCUGUCUGAGACAAGGACAACCUCCAGAACAGAUUUCCACAUUGCUUUCUUUCUGUUUCCAUGACUUAGACAACAAUGGCAUCUGUGUGUACCUUCUUUCUGUGUGGAACUGCCAAUUCUUCUACAUGGAUUAAUCCCAAGGAGUAGUUUCUCUGCACAUUCUCCACCAGACAGUAGCUCUUCAUUAGGAUGCCUUGAUACUCUGAUGUGGUGCCACCACAUCCUCCCAAAGCAAGUCUCUUCCCUCUGGCAGCAGAGAAGCGGAUUUUCUGCUCAACCUGCUUUGAUCACCAAAUGAGUCAGGGAGAAGAACAUGGAUGGAAAUAUCCUCAGUCAAGAACUUCACAAGCACCAGUUGCUUUAACCAGGGGCUCUAGAAAUUUUCUAGAAUAAAUGCUUCUCAAUUUGU